ACCCAAGCAGGGCUCACUUGUCAGUAGCCAGCAGUUGCUAUGACGUAUUGUGUGGAACUUGCGUAUGAGCCAAAACAAUGUUGUUUACGUCAGUGUGAAGUUUUAUUAGUGACGCGAUUGAGUACAGAGUUACGCCUUAAUUAUCAGUGUAUGGGCGGAUUUUUUAGAUUAAGUCUUUAAGUGGAAAAUAAUGGUUUGCUGCGCGAUUGCCGGUUGUACUAACCAUAGCAGACAAGUAAAUAAGUUGGGAAUUAAGUUUCAUAUAUUUCCCAAAAAGAGUGAGACGAAACAAAAAUGGAUAAAUGCAUGUAAACGUGCAGAUAAGUUUUCCGUUGAAAAUGCUCGUGUCUGCUCAAUACAUUUUACUGAUUCGGAUUAUGAAAGGGAUUUGAAAAGUGAACUGUUGAACAUUCCUUCGAAAUGCAAAUUGAAGACUGAUGCUGUUCCAACACUAAACCUACCGUCUUCCGGUGCCGGCAUAGGUUUUAGUAAUGAGCGUAAUGAUAGAGACGUGCGGGCACAGAAACGAAGGUACCGCCAAGAGGGUAUUAUACAGAAGACUGCACAGGGAGAACAUCGAAGUUCUGUAUGUGGUGUGACUGUCGUCAAACAUGAGCCAGUGGAGGCUGUCCCACUCACAUUUCCGAAGCAAGAGAUGGAGCUUCUAUCUGUUAAGGAAGAACCUUUGGAUUGGGAGGUGCCUGAUGGCCACGUUAACACACAGGAGCCACUAAAUGCUGUUAAAGAGGCAUGUUCACCUUCAGAUGAUUGUCUCGGGCCUAGAACACUCAAUACUGGAAAGACAGAGGAUGACGAAGAUGAGGAGGCAAUGAGUGAGGAUGACUUUGUGGUGGUCAAGCAUGAAGUGGAGUCAGUAGGUAGUGACAGCGAACAAGAAAGGAUAUAAGUCCAUUUGAUGUAUUCUGGCAGACGAAACACACCCACAUGCAGCUAGUCAUGUAAUUUCAAGGCAACUCGUCCAAUAGGGAUGUAUUCAACCUACCCCAACCAACCGGCCAUCCAUGGCUCUCUCUCAUCAAUAACCACCACGAUUCAGUCAGUGAUCGGCGUUAUCAUUGAGCUUAUGAUGAGCCCCAGGAUUUGCUCCCAAUUUGAAGAAGAGGUGAGACCCCCUCCCCGCACUUUUAGGUGUAUGGUUGUAGCUGAGGAGGAGGAUGGGGAUGGGGAUGUAAUCUCCACAGCAGACACUGUGGAAUUCAAUGUAGAUGAGGAGCAGAGAUCAACAGCAUAAUUGAAGAGCUUGAGAUGGAAGAGGAGAUGGUAAGUGCAUUACAGUGUUCAUAAGCAGAGAUGUUUGAGUUGCAGAUGGAACUUGAAUGGUCAGAUUGGUACAGUGAAUGUGUGUGUGAUAUUCCACACACACACCAUCACCCUUGUAAUUGACUGUCCACGGUGUUAGUUUGAAAUUCAUGUGUAAAAUCUUCGCUGUCCUCCACCAGCACAAUUGACAACUGACGAUGCACUGCAUUCUUCCAGCUAUCACCAUCAGCACUCUGCUCUAUCUGUGAAGUGAUCCCAGUCCCUGUGCUCUUGACCACUUCACAAGGUGCUUAGGGAAUGUUCUAUGAUAGUGGAAUGACCACAGUUCAUUACAUGUGCUAGUUCUUGAGUACCCCGACACGUAUGACCGUAGAUUAAUGCGUUAAAACAAUCUUCGUCAAAACUUAACGAGCCAGUAAUGCUGAAAUGAGAAUCCAUUUUCUUACCAUUCACUGUCCAGUGGCAUUAUCAGCAUACACAGCACAAAAUGUUACUCAGCUGCUGUAAGUUCUCUAUUGAUUUGCUUUAUAUUAGACUGUGAUGAAAGGUCUAAAAAAAUUUCGAGGACGAAACACAGAGCUUCACGUACUAAUAAGGAGUAGUAUCAAUUGUGUUUGACAUUCGAUCAAAUGAUUCAAUGGACCUGAUUUUGACAAAUUAAAUUUCCCUUAUGACAGUGUAGUGUGAAUGCCAUUUAAUCUUUAAAGUAACCUUGGAUGCAAAAUUAUAUGCAUUACAGGAUCUGCACUGUAAAUUCAUCAAACAGCAGUUAUAACCCACAAAUUAUUUGUAAUUAGUUGAGGUGAUCAUUUAAAUUUAUCUUUCAUUGCAGCAAUAGAAUUAUUAUUAACAGCAUCCACAUUAUUGCUGUUACUUUGUCUACACAAAAGUUGUGCAUCUUUAGGUCUUUGUCUUUCAGUCCACCUUGUUAGUGUUCUUCUUCAAGGCAUAACCUAAAACAGGUAUAGUUUCUGAAUAAUAAGGGAAGUCAUGGCUAUUCAGAGUACAUGAAUUGAAAAUUGGGAAAUUACUUCAAAUUUAAUGGUAAAGGAGGUAAAUGAGCACAAAGUUACUUGUUGCAGGGUGUCGAUGAUCGAACCUGGGACUCCAGAUGGCCGAGCAUGAAGCUGGCACCCCCAUGCCGUUUCUCAUCAGGAGGUUGAGCAAGUUCAGUAGCGUCAAGGGGCAGUGCAGAGUGAUACAGCGGUAUUCGGCAGCAUUGCUUUAUUCACAUAAUUUACAGUACUUCGAUGGGAGCAGCGUAGUGCUGUCAUGCCGCCCGCAGCGUUGUCCCAUGAGUCCAGCCGGCUCAGCAACUCCUGGUAUGCUGAUGCUGCUGCUCCGUCAUCAAAGUCGCUCAUCUAGGAGUCAGCAAUUCUCUGCCCGGUCGCCGCCCGCUGAGGCAUCGCAUCCUGCGCCACGUAGGUGCCUGCGAUUCCGGAGACUGUUACAGUCCCUGGUUCCCACCACCCUCCGCCUCGUUUAGCCUGUUCCGUCUGACCAGGCGAUGAAGGUGGAUGUGCUGGUCACUCAAGGCCCUCAGGCCGCCCCUGCUCCCAGGACAGGACCGGACUCGAACCCGCGCCCUCCUGGACGCCGUGCCGCAACUUGCCACUAGUGGUGCUUGCCGGAUGGCAACACCCACUGCCGUCUCCGGUGCUGCCGCAGUGCUGCCAUGCCUCCUGCAGCGUACGCCUCGCCCAGACUCUGGUACGCCAGGUGGGAAGCAAACGUGGCCCGUCCUGGACCCGCUGCAGACCACUGUCACUGCCCUCCUUCAGGCAGACCUUGUAAUCUCCAAGUACCCAGCUGCCAUUCUGUCCCGUCCCGCUCUAGCUCCAACCCGUCAUUGUUAUCCUUCAAAGCAUAGUCUAAAACAACCUUGGUUUCCAUGUAAUAAGGGAAGAUGGAAGUCACAGAUAUUCAAAAUGAAGAAAUGAAAAUUAGAAACUUACUUUAAAUUUUCUUGUAACGGAAGUAAAUGUGCUCAAGGUUACUCCUACAGAAAAGCAAUAGAAAUCACAACAGCAGCAUAAAACAUUACUUACAGACUUCUUUACGAUGAUAUUUUGAUUUCCAGUGCUGAAACUUCAUCAGCCUAACAGAUGUUGCACUGUAAAUGCCCUGUAUGUAUGUCCCAAGGUUUCGAUUUCACUAAAUGUUGUUACGUUCAUGUGUCAUUUCAACCACAGCACCUGAUCAGUGUUGGUACCAAUAUUAGCGAAGUGAGAUAUAGGAAUGUCCAGUUUUCAUGUAGUGGUGAUUCUAAUGCAUCAUAGAGAAGAUAUUAUCAGUUAUGAAUAUGAAUGCAUAUACUUCCUUUUAUGACUCGUAACAGCUACAUACCCACACAAUUUUUUUCUUUGUGCAUGUCAAUGGCAAAGUAUGUUUAAAAUUCUAUAAGGUCAUUGGCUCCCUUGUGUAAUUAAUAUUAAAAAUCUGCACUUCAGUGUUCAGUUUCAUGUAUUAAUAUUAUGAUAGCCAUCUAAUGACUUACGGAGCCUUGAUUCAAUCAUUUAAAUGUGUUUGGAUAGUUAAACUAAUACUAUCAUUAUUGUCCCUAAAUAAAAAACAUUCUGUAUGUCUUCCCUACACAUCUUAUUGGCAAUAAAUUCAAUCAAGUUAUACAUUGUUAUUUCAAUGUAUGUCAACAGUACUUGAUUCCUAAAUAAAUCUAACAGUUAUGUUAGUUCACUUGUGGCUGCAGGCAAUACUUUACGCUGCUGGAUCUGUCAUGUAAAUUUUUCAUGGAGAUAGAUAACCUUACGUGCAGUGUUAUGCUUACUAAUGGCAUACCCAAGUUACUUUCAUUUUGGUUGAGCACUCGAUGUCCUGCACCAAGUUCCUGGCUUGGUGAUGUACUUAAUGCCUUUCAGAUGUGUAUUAAUCGCUCUUUCUUCUCAUUAACAUCCAUGCUGUAUUUCACUCAAGCAAUGUCCCCUGUUUGUGCAUACGCCUUGCUUUAUACCACUUACAUGCAGUAUUUGUUAGUGCUCUUUGCAGUUAUGAGUACCAUUCAGAUUUAUCAUAAAAGUUAUAUUGUCUAACACUCUAUGACCAAUUAUCUGUGGUGGUAUUUGCUCAUACACAGAAAAGUCGUGGUGGAUUUCACUACAUAGCUGUGUGUGUGUGUGUGUGUG